rnacentral:lncRNA from 1 species
GGCCUGAGGAUCCUGUUUAGAAUGUAUAUUGAGGGGAAACCGCAGAGAUUCUUGGGGCAAAAUACAGCAGCAACUUCUAACUGUAUGCAGUGAAGCACUUGCCUAUUUCAUUACUGUGAACUUUGAGAGCCAUCGGGAAGCAUGGACGAGCCUCAGGCUGUUACUUCUAACCAAAAUCCUCAAGAUAAAUGAUGAAAAGUUCAAAGCACAUGCAUCAGUGUACCCCUACCUGUGUGAAAUUAUGCUGAGAAAGUUCUUCCUGAGGCUU